UGAGCGCUGAGGUGUUUCCCGCAGCCCGAGCUCGGCCCCAGGGUCGCGCUGAGGGGAAACGUGACGGCUCCUGCCCGGCCUCAUGCCCGGCCUCAUGCCCGGCCUGCCGCUGCCCUCCAGCCCCCUGUAGGAGCCGGGCUGUCCUCCUGCCCACAGCCCCCGAGCUUGGUGCGGUAACGUCCUGUCCCUGCCUGAUGCGCCUGGAUUAGUCACCCGCCCUGUGAGCGCGGCCGUGAAGUGCCGCCUAUCUUUAGACCGAAAAACGAAGACACCCUGUGCCCAACAGUCGUCACGCUGAUGCACGAGGAGAUAGAAGCAGAUGCACCUGCAAAUACAAAACUUGAAAGUUCAAAUAACAAGAUUGUAAGAUGGAAUGAUACAAAGAACAGGAUGAGAGAUUUCUGUGCCCCCCAAGACUACAGAGGGAUGUCUAACACCCUUCAUUGACCAAAACAGCUCUUCAGUCAAUGAAAAGCCAAAGCAUUUCCAUCAUUUCAGCACAAUGUUCUGCUUUGAUUGCAGAACAAUAGAACAUCAUCUGGCAAUUCAGUUAGAAUAUUAUCUGAUAAAAAGUGCAAAUAUUAGA